AAAUUGAAGAGUUUGAUCAUGGCUCAGAUUGAACGCUGGCGGCAGGCCUAACACAUGCAAGUCGAACGGUAACAGGAAGAAGCUUGCUUCUUUGCUGACGAGUGGCGGACGGGUGAGUAAUGUCUGGGAAACUGCCUGAUGGAGGGGGAUAACUACUGGAAACGGUAGCUAAUACCGCAUAACGUCGCAAGACCAAAGAGGGGGACCUUCGGGCCUCUUGCCAUCGGAUGUGCCCAGAUGGGAUUAGCUAGUAGGUGGGGUAACGGCUCACCUAGGCGACGAUCCCUAGCUGGUCUGAGAGGAUGACCAGCCACACUGGAACUGAGACACGGUCCAGACUCCUACGGGAGGCAGCAGUGGGGAAUAUUGCACAAUGGGCGCAAGCCUGAUGCAGCCAUGCCGCGUGUAUGAAGAAGGCCUUCGGGUUGUAAAAGUACUUUCAGCGGGGAGGAAGGGAGUAAAGUUAAUACCUUUGCUCAUUGACGUUACCCGCAGAAGAAGCACCGGCUAACUCCGUGCCAGCAGCCGCGGUAAUACGGAGGGUGCAAGCGUUAAUCGGAAUUACUGGGCGUAAAGCGCACGCAGGCGGUUUGUUAAGUCAGAUGUGAAAUCCCCGGGCUCAACCUGGGAACUGCAUCUGAUACUGGCAAGCUUGAGUCUCGUAGAGGGGGGUAGAAUUCCAGGUGUAGCGGUGAAAUGCGUAGAGAUCUGGAGGAAUACCGGUGGCGAAGGCGGCCCCCUGGACGAAGACUGACGCUCAGGUGCGAAAGCGUGGGGAGCAAACAGGAUUAGAUACCCUCGGUAGUCCACGCCGUAAACGAUGUCGACUUGGAGGUUGUGCCCUUGAGGCGUGGCUUCCGGAGCUAACGCGUUAAGUCGACCGCCUGGGAGUACGGCCGCAAGGUUAAAACUCAAAUGAAUUGACGGGGGCCCGCACAAGCGGUGGAGCAUGUGGUUUAAUUCGAUGCAACGCGAAGAACCUUACCUGGUCUUGACAUCCACGGAAGUUUUCAGAGAUGAGAAUGUGCCUUCGGGAACCGUGAGACAGGUGCUGCAUGGCUGUCGUCAGCUCGUGUUGUGAAAUGUUGGGUUAAGUCCCGCAACGAGCGCAACCCUUAUCCUUUGUUGCCAGCGGUCCGGCCGGGAACUCAAAGGAGACUGCCAGUGAUAAACUGGAGGAAGGUGGGGAUGACGUCAAGUCAUCAUGGCCCUUACGACCAGGGCUACACACGUGCUACAAUGGCGCAUACAAAGAGAAGCGACCUCGCGAGAGCAAGCGGACCUCAUAAAGUGCGUCGUAGUCCGGAUUGGAGUCUGCAACUCGACUCCAUGAAGUCGGAAUCGCUAGUAAUCGUGGAUCAGAAUGCCACGGUGAAUACGUUCCCGGGCCUUGUACACACCGCCCGUCACACCAUGGGAGUGAGUUGCAAAAGAAGUAGGUAGCUUAACCUUCGGGAGGGCGCUUACCACUUUGUGAUUCAUGACUGGGGUGAAGUCGUAACAAGGUAACCGUAGGGGAACCUGCGGUUGGAUCACCUCCUUA
rnacentral:rRNA from 1 species